rnacentral:tRNA from 1 species
GUGGGUGUAUUUCAGUGGUAGAGCACAUGCUUAGCAUGCAUGAGGUCCUGGGUUCAAUCCCCAGUCCCUCCA